rnacentral:rRNA from 1 species
UGAGUAACGCGUGAGAAUCUGCCUACAGGACGGAGACAACAGUGGGAAACGACUGGUAAGCCCCGAUGAACCGAAAGGGAAAAUAUUUAUAGCCUGAAGAUGAGCUCGCGUCCGAUUAGCUAGUUGGUGGGGUAAAAGCCCACCAAGGCGACGAUCGGUAGCUGGUCUGAGAGGACGAUCAGCCACACUGGGACUGAGACACGGCCCAGACUCCUACGGGAGGCAGCAGU